rnacentral:tRNA from 1 species
GCCUGGGUGGCUCAGUGGUUAGGUGUCUGACUUAGGCUCAGGUCAUGAUCUUGAGGUUCGUGGGUUUGAGCCCCGUGUCAGGCU